rnacentral:lncRNA from 1 species
AGGGAGAAGAAGGUUGUUGAGAUCUAGGUAUAAAAGCUGGAAGAAGCUAGCUUCGUUUAGGAGGUCACAUACACUGCGUGACUAACAAACGUGGUUAUGGUCAAAAAGUCAAACGACCAGUGAAGGAUGUGCUCUGACUCCAAUAAGACCUACCUAAAUUAUGCUUAUCCUAUCCCCAACAUUUAUAGAUUGGUGGACGAUGCGUUAAGUCAUCAAAUUCUCAAUUUUUUGGAUACAUCACCAACUUAGUACAGCAACC